rnacentral:misc_RNA from 1 species
UCCGGUUUGUCACCGGCAGUCACCUUAGAGUGCCCAACUGAAUGCUGGCAACUAAGAUUAAGGGUUGCGCUCGUUGCGGGACUUAACCCAACAUCUCACGACACGAGCUGACGACAACCAUGCACCACCUGUCACUUUGUCCCCCGAAAGGGAAAGCUCUAUCUCUAGAGUGGUCAAAGGAUGUCAAGUCCUGGUAAGGUUCUUCGCGUUGCUUCGAAUUAAACCACAUGCUCCACUGCUUGUGCGGGUCCCCGUCAAUUCCUUUGAGUUUCAGCCUUGCGGCCGUACUCCCCAGGCGGAUAACUUAAUGCGUUAGCUGCGCCACCGAAAGCCUAAGGCCCCCGACAGCUGGUGCCCAUCGUUUACGGCGUGGACUAC